rnacentral:rRNA from 1 species
CAUCUUGUUUGAAUUACUUUGAGUCUAACCUGCCACUGAUAUAAAUUAAAGGGCCGCAGUAUUUUGACUGUGCGAAGGUAGCAUAAUCACUAGUCUUUUAAUUGGAGGCUUGUAUGAAUGGUUGAAUGAGAUAUAUACUGUCUUUUUUAAAAUUAUAUAGAAUUUUAUUUUUUAAUUAAAAAGUUAAAAUAAAAUUAAAGGACGAGAAGACCCUAUAGAUCUUUAUUUUUGUUAUUUAUAAAUUAAAAAGAAUUUUAAAAUUUAUAAUUUAAUAAAAAAUUUUAUUGGGGUGAUAUUAAAAUUUAAAAAACUUUUAAAAUUUAUUAACAUAAAUAUAUGAAUAAAUGAUCCAGUUUUAUUGAUUAAAAAUUUAAGUUACCUUAGGGAUAACAGCGUAAUUUUUUUUUAGAGUUCAUAUCGACAAAAAAGAUUGCGACCUCGAUGUUGGAUUAAGAGUUAUUUUUAGGUGUAGAAGUUUAGGGGUGAGGUCUGUUCUACCUUUGAAUUCUAACACGACCUGUGUUCAAAACCCGCAGGGCGCGCCCCCUCCGACUUCCACCCGG